UCUCGCCUGCCAGUGAACUUUUUCAACGGCCGCGGUAUUCUAACCGUGCAAAGGUAGCGUAAUCACUUGUCUUCUAAAUAAAGACCUGUAUGAACGGCUAAAUGAGGAUAAACCUGUCUCUUAUAACUAACCAGUGAAACUGAUCUCCCAGUACAAAAGCUGGGAUAAUUACAUAAGACGAGAAGACCCUGUGGAGCUUAAAACAGACCACCAACCACCACUAGUUAUGAUGUAAUGCUUUAAGUUGGGGCGACUUCGGAAUAUAAUAAAACUUCCGAGCACAGAACCACCAAUUCAAACUAAGGCCAACAGGCCAAAGUACUAACUUGACCCGGCCCACGCCGACCAACGAACCAAGUUACCCCAGGGAUAACAGCGCUAUCUUCUUCAAGAGUCCCUAUCAACAAGAAGGUUUACGACCUCGAUGUUGGAUCAGGACACCCAAAUGGUGCAGCCGCUAUUAAAGGUUCGUUUGUUCAACGAUUAAUAGUCCUACGUGAUCU
rnacentral:rRNA from 1 species